GGCCGUGUGUUUCUUCCCUUUCAGUGCAUGGGCAGGUCCCUGGACUUCCUUUCUCUGAUGGCUGCUCCUACCACCCUGCCCAGCAAUCACUCACUCCCAUGAGCUUUACUCCACGUCAGUGCAGCUUCCCAUGGUCACUACCUGGAUCUUGUCAUCAGCUGCAAUGCAAAUUCUGUAGCCCCUCGUCUUAACCUCCCUGUCCACUUGGUUUUUCCUGGUCUUCCUCUCAAUAUUCCUUCUCUGCAUCUUUAGUAGAAGCUUCAGUCUCUAGACUCUUCUUUUGCCUUCCAAUCUAUUACUCUUCCCUCCAUCCCUGCUAAGUAGAGCUGUUCUUCAUCUAUCACUUAAGCCUCUCUCAUCUUGCACUGCUCUUCUCCAGCUUUAGAAUACCUUUUCCCUCUGCCACUUCUCCACCAAGCUGGACUCUAUUCAAGGACAUCAAGGUUCAUCAUCUUCAUGAUAACAGGACCUUUUUUAAAAUUGUUUUGUUCACUGCCAUAGUCCUAGCACCCAGAAGAGUAGCUGGCACAUAAUCAGCUCUCGAUAAAUGUUUCUUGAUAUUUCUGUGAGCGUGUACAUCCCCUGGGUCCAGCACCUUUUUCAUAAGUGCUUCUAAUUUGAGUGCACAAAUGACUUCAAGGUGGCUUUGAACAAGACAUAUAUUCCGGUGUGAGUGUCUGCAUCUGGGAAAUACACUGGAGGAAUGCUCCUCCUUCGUUUCCCAAGUAAGUCUCUAACAGUUUGUACAUAUGAAGUGUGCUAGUCAGGAUGUGGGGGGUCAGAUCUGAAACCUGAUUGUAACUUGAAGGCAUAAAAUAAUCACACAGCUGUGUGCCUGGGCCCUGAGCGGCACUGGGCCUAAAGCAUAAUGUGCUUCAUCUGAUUUGCUGGAGAAUCUGGAUUUGUCGAGGCUCUUGGCUCAUUUGCUUCAGGCAGAUGCUCUUAUUUGCACAGCAAUCCAAGGGGUGGAAACAGAGCUGAGGUCUCUAGGAAGGGAGAGGGCAGCACAAGUUGGGGGGGCCACCCAGGGAGAACUCACCCAUCCCCACAUACUUUUCAUCAGAAAUGGGGUAAUGGCUUUACCUGGACCUGGGGUUUGGUGGGGCUACCAUUUACCCAAAAGCAGAUCAGGCUAGCUCCAUUACUAAGAAGAAGAAGAGAGUUGGCAACAGGGGCCUGGUCCUUUAGCCUGGAGAUUCAAAGACAGGGAUGAGUGAAAAGAGGUUUCAUAGGUUGACAAAGCUUUUAAAACCCCCAAAUCUGUUAGGGUCUAGUGAAAGAUGGAGGAGGCUGAACAUGAGAAACUGGUUUUUGGUACCUCUGGAUCUCCCCAGCUGACCACAGCCACCAAAAGCCUUGAUCGAUCCUCGAAGACAUCGUCUGGGAAAUGCUGAACUACAGCAAUCACAAAGAAAAGGACAUGUAGGAAUACUCAGAAACAGUGAGGACUUCGGUAAGACAAGUUUAUACGUGGGACGCCUACCACAGCAUGGCUGCCAAGCAGUGCCAUGUCCACACCCGGGAUCCGAACCAGCGAACCCCGGACUGCCGAGAAGCGGAACGUGCGAACUUAACCGCUGCACCACCGGGCCAGCCCCUAGAAUGGUUUGAUUUUUUAAAAACCAUGUAUGAUGCAAAUAUCUGUGUUUGAUAAAAGCAUGAAUUAACCCAAGAGGGUAUUCCCAAUCUAUUAAAUUUUAUGAAAUAAAGAGUUCUUUGAAAGGUAAGGUUGUGGGUGAUUUGCGUGUUAAAAUCAGAGACACG
rnacentral:lncRNA from 1 species